UUUUCCCUCUUCUCUUGUUCCUCCACAACAGACAGUCGUCUCAGUGAAGCAGCCGUAAUAAAAAAACAACAAUACACACUUCCCUUCCUCUAACACACCAGCUUUAGCUGUUAUUUUUUUAGACAGGAAGUCAUUGGAGACAAGCUGAGACAUAGAAGAUCAUCUCUCAUACGAUAAACUGGAAAUGUGGCUGAAUCAGUUGGCUCUGGUGUUGCUCACAGUGGUAGCAGCAGCUGUGGGGAUAUCGGGCCAGACUCACGUAUUUCUGGAUAAAACCCAGACAAGAGUGAUUGUUCCCUCUGGGUCAUCUCUGACUUUGCACUGCUGCUUGAGCACAAAGAAAUAUGAGAGAUAUCGAGUGUCUUGGUAUUUUAGCUCACAUGGACCUUCAUUCAGCAACUCAGGGAAUCUGUGCAGUAAAAUAAUUAACAAGUUUGCAAACAGUUCCACUGAAGGCAGUGAAAAUACACACAUUUUAUCUGUUGUUAAUGAAACAUGCAGUGGAUGGUACUUUUGCAAAAUCACAGGAGAGGUUCCCAGUUUAACAGAAAUUCGGAGCAAUGGAAAAGAAGUACUGGUUUCAAACAUCUUUCAAAGAAGAAGAAGAAGAAAAGGCGCUAAGCCCUGUUCAGGCCGUUCGUGCAGCGUGCCCAAAAAGAAGCGUAAAUUUUUUUUGUCGAGCCGUUACAACAGACAACAAUCUUGUGGAUCAACAGAAGAGCAAUCUGUGUGGACAAUGGCCAAAAGAAGAGCCUAAACACGUCGAUUCAGCUGCAACAGGCCCCAGGUAGCCUAUCUAAAUACUAAUUUACAUUACCUUUGUUUCUUUCAUUUAUAGUGUUCAUUACAUGUUUGCAUUACCCAAAACCAGUAAGCACAUCAUGCAUAAAUAUUGUUUAAAUCUAUUGUCUCUCAUUUCCUUUUAUUCCCCACAGUGGUCACGCAUACGUCCUUCAAACGAACUUAUAUAACUUAAUGCCGUCAUAAUACUGUUUGUUGUGCCACAUCUACCUUUCACUAUUCACUGCACACAAGAUGUUCAAAAUCAAAUUUUAACCUUGAUGUUUUCAGUGAUCAUCAAGGAUCACAGUUCAGCACGCCAGUGAAUACUAACUGCCUCCAACCGACACUUCGCUCCUGAUAAUGUGUACAUCUAAUUAUUAAAAAACAUUCUGAUUAGGUCGACAGCUCAUCAGGAAAGGACAGAAAAACAAUAAACAAAUCCAAUUUACUUCAUAUACUCAAAGGCUGUCAAUGACAAAAAGGAGUAAAACAGAAGCUAAGGACAUAAAGGAUGCUGUGGCCAUUGGGUUUUAUCAUUUAUAUUUUUUCUGAAUUUUUACCUUCAAAUCUUAAUAUUAAUUCAAUCUUUUUUAUUAUAUAUACAUUUUUGUUGUACAAUCAUUGCAAAUUAGAGAAUUUUUUAAAUCAUGAAAGUUUUUUUUCUACAAGAAUAAACAGAAAUUAUUGAAAGUGUCUCUCUUCAUCUUUGUGUUUUAAACAAUGCAAAAUGUCCUGUAAUCUUAUCAUCAUGUGCUUGUGAUUUUUCUAACAAAUGACUGAAUUUUAUGCAUUACCAAUGUGAAAUCACAACCUAAUCUUAAUGCAGAUGUUUGCACACAUACAGUACUGUACAUGCAAAAGAUGCUUGAAGUGGGGAAACACUUCAAGACAUUUUCUCUGUGGGAGGAUUGUUCACCUAUUUCCAAUCCUGAUUAUGACCGCCACCUCUCAUGCCGCCCAUAUGUCUGUAAAGUCAGUUAUGAUCUGGGUGUCUGGUUUAUGAUUAUAUCAGGCUGCAGUGACUUGACAAAAACUUUUUUUUAUGAGUCAGACGUGAAUAAUAAAUUAGACCAAAUAUAAAAUGUAAUGAAUUAUGUGAUAUAAAAAAUGGAUUUUCUUUCAGUAACCUGAAAGAAAUUUGUUCAUCGUGCAUUUUUUUAACCAUCAUACCUUCUUUUUUGUUUUUUGCUUUCUUACACUCAAUCUCAGCAUGUUCAGUGCUGAAUUAAAUUAAAACAAAUGAAAUUGAGACCAUAACGCUGCACGGGUCUGAGAUUCUGCUCUGUAUUAAACUGUCUG